rnacentral:rRNA from 1 species
UAAGCGGAGGAAAAGAAACCAACAGGGAUUGCCUCAGUAGCGGCGAGUGAAGCGGCAAAAGCUCAAAUUUGAAAUCUGGCGUCUUUGGCGUCCGAGUUGUAAUUUGAAGAAGGUAUCUUUGGGCCCGGCUCUUGUCUAUGUUCCUUGGAACAGGACGUCACAGAGGGUGAGAAUCCCGUGCGAUGAGAUGGCCCGGGUCUAUGUAAAGUUCCUUCGACGAGUCGAGUUGUUUGGGAAUGCAGCUCUAAGUGGGUGGUAAAUUCCAUCUAAAGCUAAAUAUUGGCGAGAGACCGAUAGCGAACAAGUACAGUGAUGGAAAGAUGAAAAGAACUUUGAAAAGAGAGUGAAAAAGUACGUGAAAUUGUUGAAAGGGAAGGGCUUGAGAUCAGACUUGGUAUUUUGCAAGUUACUCUUUCGGGGGUGGCCUCUGCGGUUUACCGGGCCAGCAUCGGUUUGGAGCGGUAGGAUAAUGGCGGGGGAAUGUGGCACGACUUUGGUUGUGUGUUAUAGCCUCUGACGAUACUGCCAGCCUAGACCGAGGACUGCGGUUUUUACCUAGG